CUUCUGUUUGCGUAAUUAAUGAUAUGCUAAUAUCUUUUCUUCUCCUUAUCUCCCAAACAGGGUUUUUUUUUAAGGGGAAGAAGAAAUGUUUUCCUCUGUGGACCAGCCUGGAAAUACAUGCUGUUGGCAAGGACAAGGAGCCCAAAUGUGAAAACAGUUUUGUGACAUCCAGCUAAUACAGCAACAUGGAGAUGGAGCUCAAGAGGAGAACCCUGAUCAUUGUUUAUAAUAAAUGUGAAACAAAUAAACAGCUAUUGGAGGACAAACAGGUCAAUGAGAGCCUGGUGGAGGUUUCAGGAGAGAGAGAAGGAAGUGGAUGUUUUGUGAUAAAGCAUCACGCUAAGGAAGAUGACAAAAGACAGAUAACAACAAGUCUGUCAGAAACUGAUGAGAAUUUCAUCAAGGCUGAAGAAGUCAGUCAAGAUAAACAUUCCCUUGAAAUAUCCUGA
rnacentral:lncRNA from 1 species